rnacentral:lncRNA from 1 species
UUAACCCAUGUUUCUCUAUCCUCAUCACAAAGACUAUAGAAAACAUUAAGCGCCGCACUAUCACAAGCAAUUUGGGUGGUGGCUUGAAGUCGUUCUACCGUUGUAAGACCACUAAUCUUCUUCAACUCUUCACUCAAUUAAGCAAGCUUAAUUGCAUUCAAUUAAGUACAACAGCUGUAAAAAAGCAAGAACAAUGAGUAAAAUAGUAAAAACAAUAGUAACCAGCAAGAAAAAUAGCAAGCAUAACAGCAGCAAACAGUAAAAACAGCAAAUGACAAGUGAAACGAUGGCUGAAAUACCAAAAAUAGCAAGUAAAACAGCAAAAACUAGCAACUAAAACAGUAAAAAAAUAGGAAAAAAAGUUAUAACCAGCAAGUAUAACAGUAAAGAUAGCAAGUAAAACAAUAACAAAAGUAGUAACCAACAAGUUUAACGGUAAAAAUAGCAAGUAAAACAACAAAACAAUAAGCAAGUAUAACAGUAAAAAUAACAAGUAAAAUAGUAAAAACAAUAAAAAAAAAGUAGUAAUAAGCAAGUAUAACGAUAAAAAACAACAAGUAGAAUAGCAAAAACAGCAAAGAAGAGUAGUAACCAAUAGGUAUAACAAUAAAAACAACAAGUAAAACAAUGAAAACAACAAAAAAGUAGUAACCAACAGGUAUAAUAGUAAAAGCAGCAAAAACAGCAAAAACUAGCAAGAAUAAUAGCAAAAACAGCAGUAACCAGCAAGUAUAACAACAUCAAACAGUAAAACAAAAAAACAGCAGAUAGAUUAGAAAAACACAUUAAUAAUAAGUAUUGUGGAGAAGAUAAUUUAUCAGAACAUUAAAUUCAUGUUAUUUUGAAACUUCAAACAAUUUACUGAACCUUCUUCAUUAACUUCAGCAUAUACAAAAUAAAAACAUCUCACAAAAUGUUUCUUGUAGCAAUUAAUUAAAUAAAUAACAACAACAGCAAAGUAACAGGUUACAAAGCAGCAAACUAUCUAAUGAAAAUUGAAAUUAACUUGGAAAGCUCUAUAUAAAAUUUUUUGAACACAAUCAAAGGAAUAAUUGCAAUUUCUCUACCAUUGCAUGAUGUUUAUUUCUAUUAAUUUGCAACAAGUCCAAAAUCGAAAGUACUAGCUCCUAAGAAUAAUUGUAAAUUUUACUAGCCAUCCAUUUCCUUCAAAAAAUCACUAGUCACACUUCAUCUUGUGCCUUGUUAUCGCAUUAAUAAAGUACAAUCCAAUAAGACAUAUAUAUAUAUAUUUUUUUUUGUGGUUUACACAUGAAGGUGGAAGCUAUAUUUGCUAAAACUCCACCCACAAAAAUACCUUAGCCGAAUAAUUAGGAUAAUUUUUUCUUAAUGUAAAGUCAACUACGGAUUGGAAAUAUGCUUCUAGAUGCAAUCAUAAUUUUUGGGGCAAAAUUAACAUUUUUUUUCUUAGACAGUUCAUCAAACACUUGGUAGGCAUAUAUCUAUAAAUUCAUCCAUUCACAAUAUAAAGUAACAAAAUCUUAAUCAAAGCCUCAUAAUAACUUAAUCAAACAAAAUGCAACAUCUAAAAUUUCAAAAUUUGUUCAAAUUAAAGCAACAGAAUCUAAAAUAGCCCUCUUCAAACUCAUUCUCCAUCAUCUCAUGAGCUAAACUCAUUAAAUAACCACAAUAGCCACACAAGAAUAAUUACAACAACUAACAAUAACAAAUUAAUAAUACCAUCAAAACGAUAAAAGUGACAACACUAAAACAUAUGAAAAGAGAUGAAAAUUUGUACCUAGGGUGAGAAACCAUGAAGCUAAAGCGUUGAUACUUGCUAAGAUAGCUCUGGCAAACAGACCCACUGUCGUAGCUCACCGACCAACAUAUGAGGCUCACUAUCGGAAGUUCAAAGAGAUUUUAAUUUUUGUUUCUAAGAUGAUUUGAUUUGAUUUUGAGUUAUGAGAGUUGUGAAAUCAUAGAAUAAUUUGCAAAUUAGGGUUAUUUGUGAAAGGGUAGAAUUGGGAAUAAAAAAAUAUAAUCAAGGGUAAAAUUGAGAAUUUAAGUCUUUUGGUUGUGUGGAAUUUAGAUUUCCUCACUCUUGCGAGAGAAGACCGAAUUCCUCUAGCUUACAGAAACUGGAUUUCCAUCAGAAUUUGACUUCCCAUCUAGUGUUGCCAACCAAAUAGUGGAAAUCAUAGAAGGAAUCCAAAUGCUCUCCUCUCCCGUGUGGUUU